rnacentral:miRNA from 1 species
AAAGCAGGAUCCUCCGACC